CAAGGAAUUUUCGGCAAUGGGCGAGAGCCUGACCGAGCAACGCCGCGUGCAGGAUGACGGCCUUCGGGUUGUAAACUGCUUUUGGAUGGGACGAUAAUGACGGUACCAUCCGAAUAAGCCCCGGCUAACUCCGUUG
rnacentral:rRNA from 1 species